GGAAAAUGGCUGGGCAAGGGGGAUGGGCACACUUGGAUUUGGCUGAUGCAUUGGGCUAUUCCAUUAAAUAUCCGUACCCCCCUGUCGAGGAUCCCUGGAAUUCUUCAGGGGUAAAGGGUUUUGAGCUUGGAAUUCUUCAGGGGUAAAGUGUUUUGAGCUUGGAAUUCUUCAGGGGUAAAGAGUUUUGAGUUUGGAAUUCUUCAGGGGUAAAGGGUUUUGAGCUUGGAAUUCUUCAGGGGGAAAGGGUUUUGAGCUUGGAAUUCUUCAGGGGUAAAGAGGUUUGACUUUGAAAUUUUUCAGAGCUUGGAAUUCUUCAGGGCUGAAGGGUUUUCAGCUUGGAAUUCUUCAGGGGUGAAAGGUUUUGAGCUUGGAAUUCUUCAGGUGUAAAGAAUUUUGAGCUUGGAAUUCUUCAGGGGUAAAGGGUUUUGAGCUUGGAAUUCUUCAGGGGUAAAGGGUUUUGAGCUUGGAAUUCUUCAGGGGUAAAGGGUUUUGAGCUUGAAUUUUGGAAUUCUUCAGGGGUAAAUGGUUUUGAGCUUGGAAUUCUUCAGGGGUAAAGGAUUUUGAGCUUGGAAUUUUGGAAUUCUUCAGGGGUAAAAGGUUUUGAGCUUGGAAUUCUUCAGGGGUAUAACAAUGAAAAACAUGUAUCCUCGACAGGGGGUGUACGGAUAUUAAAUGGAAUAGCCCAUU